CCAACAUUUCUUUUGAUCUCAUCAUACAUUAUUUCAGAUCUUCAGUCGUAAAGAAAAAGUUAGAUCCACUCAGAAGCCAUCUUGGCAUAUUAAGCUCUAAUGCAUAGCAUGUCCUGCAACAUAAUUGUAACCUUUCCUUAUGUUUAACUUGUCUGUUACGGCUUUGGCUUUCUCAUUGAUAAAUUCCCAGGCAUCUGACUUGCAUGCCGCCUCAUGAUUUACUGAUACUCACGACUGUGUUCGUGGAAUGAAACCAUGAUAUUAUCUUCUCUUUCACAAGCACCGAAUUCGAAACACUAUUUCCACCAUUAUUAAUAUAGACUUCGCUAGCUGCAAUUCUCUUUCCUAGCAGCUAAGAACAUUUCGAAAUAGACUAGCUUACUGUAGCUAAUCCUUUGUAAUCUGUCCGCUGUCCCCAGUCCCCUGCCCUCUAUUCUCUGUCUUCUGUCACCUGUCCUCUUUUCUAUGUCCUCUGUCCACUGUCAUCUGUCCCCUGCCCUCUGUCCUUUGUACUCUAUCCUCUGUCCCCUGUACUCUGUGAUCUGUCCUUUGUGCUAUAAGUUUUCCUGGUUCCUUCAGUUUCAUAGUUUAACAUAGAUAGAACGUUCGAGUUUUUCGGUGAUAGGAUGUCAUUAGACUUUCCUCGAAGUUUGACUAAUUUAAGCUUACAGAUACCAAGUACUGCCGAUAUCCUCGAUAUUAUUUGGGAAAUUGAGUGCGAUUAUAAUUGUUCUUCCCAUGCUUUUUCUCCAACCAUUCCCUGAAAUUUGGGCUACAUAUAGGAAGAUCGAGAUCCCCACUCUGGCUAUCAGUGGUCUACAGGUAUUUGUUGUAAUGAAGUUUUGAAUGUAUCAUCACCCCCAAGUAGUUGAUAUUCAGCUUUUGUCCCACUUCAAAUCUUCUUUCUCUUCUUCUGCGUUAGCGUCAUUCGGUCCUGGGGGGCGCACAUAGGUAGAUUGGCAAGAAUUACGUAUCGAAAAACAACAGUUGUGGUUGGCCUCUUCGCACAGAUCUUGAAAGGAGUUCCGUUUGCUCUCACAGAUUGCCUUCCGCAGCUCACUCUGGCAAGCUUUUAACCUCACCUUUCUCUGUGCACUUUCCUGCUUAUCAUUCGUGCGUUGAUACUUUCUUGAUGUUCGCAGACAUUCGGCACACAGUGGCCUUAUUUCGUCAUUUCACCAAUAAUUCGUUAAUCUGUGCGCGCUAUUCCUGUGCCUUGGCAUUGAGGCAUCAUAGGCUGCGACCACGUUUCUGACAAUUUGCUCAGAUUUUUCUUUUUCUGCACCUGUUGUCGUCUAGUGGAGCUACAAAGGAACCCAAUGGAGGUGAAGAAGCAGAAAAACAGGGGAAGAAAAGGUCGGUGCUGCUGCCAGGAUUAGAAUUUUAUUUUUACUAGGAGCUGACAUUGUAAUUAACGGUAAUAAAGGAAUCAACAGGAAUUUGUGAUGUAAUUAGUGCAUUCUCCGGCCAGGAGUUCUUCAUAUCUCCUUCAAAAAUAGAUAGUAAGAGGAAUCCUGUGAAGGGACCGCAUUUCAACUGCCAGAGUCAAUGAACCGUGAUCCACUUCCCAACUUGAGUUGUGCCUGAUAUGCAGCGUCUGCACUAAAGCCACCACUUAACGGUGACUCCAGAGGAACCUUCAAGUUAGCAGAAUCACGGCUGCAGACCCGUCAUCCAAUUACUUCGUCCUCUCCUGCCCAUUAUAUGCUUUCCACCUAAAUACGUUGUGCUUAAUUGACGACAUCCAAGCUUCCUCCGAGCUUGUAAAAAAUUAGAUCGGGUCAAGGAAACUUACAGAUCCGGUUCGUCGAAAUUACCGGUGAUGCUCUCUGCCGGGCGACGAAAUCAGUGCAACUCCCAACACCUAAGCGACCAUCAUUCCUGCUGAUCUCGUUACCCAACUGGACGCGAUCCUUCACACCACCAAAGUCCAUCUGCAGCUUCUCCGCCGGAACCUGCUGUUCUUCCGCGAGCAUUGUUGUCGACCUUUGCAGGGACUGAAAUUGUCCAGAUACAUUAGGCGCACUUUCAUAACUAAUUUUAUUUUUUGUAUUCUUGAUCAAUUUCCGUUAAAUAAAGCGAAGAUCCAUCCACCCACUCC
rnacentral:lncRNA from 1 species